CUAACCUUCGUCGAAUCGACGAGUACGCCGCACUAAUAUCGCUAUUUCUUUUCGCCACGCGCGCCGAUCACAGAAUCUUCACUUGUCAAUUCAGUAUUCGUCGAGCUCUUCCGGGUGACGACCGCGCCUGGCGGCUUUUACCAUGGCUUCCAAGCGAUGGCUGACUGAGGA